ACUGCUCAGUAACACGUGGCUAACCUGCCCUCGGGACGAGAACAUCCCCGGGAAACUGGGGCUAAUUCUCGAUAGGUGAAGACUCCUGGAAUGGAUUUUCGCCCAAAAGACGUUUAGAUCAUGCUUCUAGACGUUGCCCGAGGAUGGGGCCGCGGCCGAUCAGGCUGUUGGUGAGGUAACGGCUCACCAAACCUUUGACCGGUUCGGGCCGUGGGAGCGGUGGCCCGGAGAUGGGCACUGAGACAAGGGCCCAGGCCCUACGGGGCGCAGCAGUCGCGAAAACUUCGCAAUAAGCGAAAGCUUGACGGGGCCAUCCCGAGUGCCAUCUGCUGAGGAUGGCUUUUACCCAGUAUAGAUAGCUGGGGGAAUAAGGAGAGGGCAAGUCUGGUGUCAGCCGCCGCGGUAAUACCAGCUCUCCGAGUUGUGGGGACGUUUAUUGAGCCUGAAGCAUCCGUAGCCGGCUGUGCAAGUCCUCUGUUAAAUCCAGCGACUAAUCGUUGGCCUGCGGGGGAUACUGCUCGGCUAGGGGGCGGGAGAGGCCGUCGGUAUUCUUGGGGUAGGGGUGAAAUCCUAUAAUCCCAGGAGGACCACCAGUGGCGAAGGCUGUCGGCUAGAACGCGCUCGACGGUGAGGGAUGAAAGCUGGGGGAGCGAACCGGAUUAGAUACCCGGGUAGUCCCAGCUGUAAACGAUGCAGGCUAGGUGUUAGGGCGGCUACGUGCCGCUCUAGUGCCGCAGGGAAGCUGUUAAGCCUGCCGCUUGGGGAGUACGGCCGCAAGGCUGAAACUUAAAGGAAUUGGCGGGGGAGCAC
rnacentral:rRNA from 1 species